UAUAUACCUUUAAGAAUUCAGUAACUCUUCUGCCUUUAUUGUGUGGUCACACCUGACUGUGUGGGUUGCUGUUCAUCUUCCUUUCUUUAAGAGCCAGCUGUUUUUAAGAACUCACUCAUUUUUUAUGCCAUUGAGAUAGCAGCAUGUUACUUUUAGAAGGUUGCUGGCUUGGCACUUCGAGGGCUUCCCUCUCUUUGUCUGUGGGAUCUUGGUGCAUGCCCACCCACAAUGUCAUUGAGCAGGUAUGGAUACACCCCCUCCCAUUCUCAGGACUGCCUGCAUCUGUUUUCAAAUGGACACACUGUGGGGUCAUGUAGAACAUAUCUGCAAUGAGCUUUUAUUUUUGGAAUGAAACCCGUCUCUCAAGAAGCGCUUUUCAGGGGUAAAAAAUAUGUAAUAGAUCUAGAUUGUGCAUGGACUAUGUGGAAAAAAACCCUCAGUCUCCAUUGAUUCUAGAAUAAAAUGUUGUGUGUAUA